GAGCAUAUGGAGAAUUGCUUGCAGCAGGCUGUUGUUAAAGGGGAGACCGGGGCAAGAUGUCACACCGACCUAUAACUCAGUGAGUGUUUCUCAGGAGCUUGAGAGGAGCCAAGCAGCUCUCUACAUACUGACCCAGACUGCUCAUUGUUGCCAGGAAAUAUCUUGAAAAGAACGAUGGAGGCAGGGGAAAAUCAGACUGGUGAAGCGAAAACAAGAAAUCAACAGCUUUAAGGUAUUCUUCUGACUUUUGAUUCAUAUACACUCCACAUGCUGUGUUUUGCAUGACAGAAAUAGCGAAAGUUCGACAGAGAGCCGAAUCGGAAGUGGGAGAAAAAUCCUCCGCGUUUAGACAUCAGCUUUCCUCCUACCGCAGUAUGUUGGUGUUUGAUAAAGACCUGUUACCGAGGCAACACGGACCU